AAAAAAAAAGAGCGAACGAAAAGGCAAAAAAAGUGGGUUUCAAAAGUUAAAAAAAAAUGAGUGUUGAAGUAAGAAAAAGUUAGGGUUUCCAAUUUGUUUAUAUAUGACUAAUAAAGUAUGAAUAAUUUAGGCUUCUUCUUUUAAAUAUUGUGUUAUUUUAUUCAAAGUGUAGUGUUUCUGGAAAUUUGUUAGGGUUAUGCUUAGUUGUUAGGGUUCGUUUAUUAAAAUAAAAUUUAUUUGAAUAUUGUAUUAGCUUAAAUUGUGUAUUGUGUGUUUGUUGGUAUUUGUAGUGUGUGUUUGUUAGUAUCUGUAGUGUGUUUGUUGGUAUCUGUAGGAAUAGACCCUUAUUUAUUUGAAGGUGUUGUUUUUUGGUGUUAUAUUAGUUACUGUUUUUAGUCAUUUUCCCGAGCUCUUGAAGUGUUUGAUUCGAUUCAAAAUGUUAUGUUUACUUGUGGAAAUGUUAUGAAGAAUGGAUAAAUGAGUGGGGUUUUUUUUUUAUUUUUUUUUAAUUUUUUUAAUAUAUAUAUGUUUAAAGUGAGAUGAUCUAGCUUUGUAUAAUUGGAUUGCCAAUUAAUUAGAGAAGGUGUGAAAAAGAUGGGGUAGCAUGAAUAAUUAUUUGAGUAGUAGGUUUAAUGUUUUUUGUCAAUGAAACUUAAGUUUCGGUUUGAGUGAACUAUUGAGACUGGAUUAACAUUGUUAUUAAUUUAUUUUUGUCAAUUGUCUAUGUUUUGUUGUCGUCCUAAACAUCUAAAUGGCUUGUGUGUGUGUGUGAAACAACCUCAACCAUGGUGUUUACGAAGGGCAACUCUUUUAUAGGCCCAAGAAGUAGUAUGGGGUGAGUAAACGUAUCUUGUUAAUUUUGUUUUUCUUGUUAAGUUGGUUUGUUUUGUGUUUUUCCUUGGGAGCUGUUAGUUAUAUAAUGAGGGAUCACCCAUUUGGUUCUAGCAAGGACAACCCUCGCAAAAGGAAACAGAAAGCAGUUACUGAGCGCCCUGCGCCUGAGGAAGUUGUGGUAUUUGAUUAUGAGGAACCGAGGUCCGGUAGUGAGGAUGAUUUUCUGAAGAUGAAGAUUAUGUGGAAGAACCAACUCAAGGAAAGAGAAUUUGAGGAUCAGUAAUUUGAAGAGGAGGAGAACGCUGUGGUUCGGCGAGGCAGCAACCAUAAGGCUAAAUCUAGGUAUUUUGAAGAAAGGAAAAGGGGCCAUGUCGUGCAUAAGAGCCUUGUGAUUAGAAGAAAAGUUGCUUAAAUUAGGGAGCCACCGCCACUUCCCCCGCCGAGUAGGAAGAGAACUCAAGUUGUUGUAGACAACGAGAUAAGUGAAGUAAAUAUUAUUUUGUUUUGUUAUAAGUAAAGCAGCCUAGUAUGGCAAAUUAGAACUUGUAUUAGUGCUUGCAUGUUUUGGUCAAUUAAGGCUAGUAAUUAAAGUAAGUUGAAUAAGUUCAUGCACUUUGUUGGUUGUGUAAGUAGAUCGCAUUAUGGGUUAGGAAUCAAUUUAUUUGUCCAAGCUGUUGCACUUUUUUUAUCGUCAAUUUGUAAUACAAUUUUCCCAUCAUAUAGUGGCCAUGAUUUAAUAAGUUUAUGAUAUAUUGAUUAAGUUUGUGAUUGAAUGAGGUUUCUGAUAUAUUGAGUAAGUGUGUGAUACCAUUUUCUCAUCAUGAUAAAAUCUUUUUUUUUUUUUAUUUUUUUUAUUUUUUUUUUUUAUCUGUGAAUAAGUUUAUGAUAUAUUCAAUAUGAGUUUCUUGAAAUCAGAAUGGAAUUUGUGAAUGUGUGUUUGGUUGAUCAUUCUGAUGUAGUUUGUAUAAUUUGAUUUAUUUUGGUUUGUAAUACUUGCGUAUAAUUGUCGUUUAGUUGCAAGGUGAGGAACCUAUUAUACUGUCAGUUGGUGAGAAAGUGAAGAAGAAGCAUCUUGUUGUUGCAACACAGUUGAGAUUUUAAUCUAAGAAGGUACAAUGAGUAAUAGUUGGUUGUGUAUUGUUUGCCUAACUUUUUAAAACUUUAGUGUUGAGUCCUCAAGUGGUUUUUUGUUUUUUCAAGUUUGUAUUUCAUCAUUCAAACUUCAUGUGUUGUGUUGGUGCUAUGACUGAUUUUUUGGACGCGCUGCAUGAGGAAGGCGGUUAAUCAUUGAAUGAUGUGGGUUUGGUGACAUUUUGAAGCUGAAGCAUAUGAAGUUGUGUCGACAGUUUUCUUACUGGCUCAUGAGUAGGAUUGAUGGUGAUAGGUGCCUAGAAGUUGGUGAUGGUAGGUUGUUACCAUUGUGCCCUGCAAGUAGAAGUGCAUUUUUGGUCUUCCCGUCGGAAGGAAAAGUUAACCUAAAAGAUUAGGUGAUGGUGGCUUGGCUUUGAAGGAGAAGAUUGAUUAUGUGAUUAGGCAGCUGUAUGGUGCAAAAGAUAAGCAUAGGACGUUGGGUAUUUCGGCGCAAAAGGCUGCUCAGAAAAUUAUUAAAAUGCCAGUUGUUACGAGGAAGGAGCAAGUUGACUUUAUGAUGGGUUUUUUAGUUGUGAUCUUAGGGGAGAUAUUGUGCCCCACAACUGGUGGAGUGCAUUUGGCCGCUUUGUUGGCGUCUGCUGUAUGUGUAGCUGUGGAAGCUAGUGAGUACGACUGGUGCUUGCUAGCGCACAAGUGGUUGAUAAGUUGUGCCAGGGGUUUUGCUACAAAAUUUGAUGAGAAUGGUUUUGUUCCCGGGGCAAGUGGUUGUGCAUUGAUCUUGAUGAUAUUUUACCUUGAUCGGCUUUGUUCGACUCUGUUGAGCUAGGGUACGUAUCCGAGGGUUGAGGUUGGGAUCGGAAACUAGAUAAAGGAAGCAUAUGUUUGGAAAAUAAAGACUUUGGAAAUUUGAAAUCGCUGGAUGUGGCCUAUGGGGAGAGGCAUCCUUGGGUUCCAAGGGACAGCGUUGAGCCAUUUGAGGUGUCUGUUGCUAAUGAGGUAUGCAAAAACAUUAUUCAGUUAUAAUAGCAUUAAUGUAAUUUGUAUUUAUAAAUGGUUUAUUAUUGUGAGUGGUUGGUGUUUAAUCUUGGUUUGUUAUAAACAUUAUGAAGUUCGAAUAAUGUUCAAAUUACUACCAUCAAGAAAACUUGUUUAAAUAACUUUUAGAUUACAAUAAGAUAGCAUUAAUUUACCUAGUUGGUUUAAAGUUAGAUUCACAUAACUUGUUUUUGGUAUAUUGAA